rnacentral:rRNA from 1 species
ACGCUGGCGGCAGGCCUAACACAUGCAAGUCGAGCGGUAGAGAGAAGCUUGCUUCUCUUGAGAGCGGCGGACGGGUGAGUAAUGCCUAGGAAUCUGCCUGGUAGUGGGGGAUAACGUUCGGAAACGGACGCUAAUACCGCAUACGUCCUACGGGAGAAAGCAGGGGACCUUCGGGCCUUGCGCUAUCAGAUGAGCCUAGGUCGGAUUAGCUAGUUGGUGAGGUAAUGGCUCACCAAGGCGACGAUCCGUAACUGGUCUGAGAGGAUGAUCAGUCGCACUGGAACUGAGACACGGUCCAGACUCCUACGGGAGGCAGCAGUGGGGAAUAUUGGACAAUGGGCAAAAGCCUGAUCCAGCCAUGCCGCGUGUGUGAAGAAGGUCUUCGGAUUGUAAAGCACUUUAAGUUGGGAGGAAGGGCAUUAACCUAAUACGUUAGUGUUUUGACGUUACCGACAGAAUAAGCACCGGCUAACUCUGUGCCAGCAGCCGCGGUAAUACAGAGGGUGCAAGCGUUAAUCGGAAUUACUGGGCGUAAAGCGCGCGUAGGUGGUUUGUUAAGUUGGAUGUGAAAUCCCCGGGCUCAACCUGGGAACUGCAUUCAAAACUGACUGACUAGAGUAUGGUAGAGGGUGGUGGAAUUUCCUGUGUAGCGGUGAAAUGCGUAGAUAUAGGAAGGAACACCAGUGGCGAAGGCGACCACCUGGACUAAUACUGACACUGAGGUGCGAAAGCGUGGGGAGCAAAC